AGCUAUGAGGUAAAGUUCUUUCUCUGU
rnacentral:piRNA from 1 species